UUAAUUUUAGCAUUGUGGCUGUGUUGUUCGGUCAAAAUUUGACAAACUCAGGUGCCCGGUUAGCAAAUUUGUACUUAGCAUACGUUGUUUAGAAGAUAAUAAUAAUCAACAGAUAUAUUUGAUGACUAUAUAAGUUAAAGUUACAUAUAUAUCACAUUUGGCACGGGAUAUACAUGGCUAAGCUGGUUGCCGUAUGUCGAACUGACGACUAUCAAUUUGAACGGAGACAGCUCCCAUUGACAGUCGAUGACAAUUUGAAGAUGGUUGUCCAGUUUAGUGAUAACUGUGUUGAUUGUGAACAUGUUAGAGGAAUCAAACAGAAGGAACUGGAACAUUUUGUUCAGAGAUUUAGUCGACUAACAAAAGAUGAAGUGGCUGUUGAGAUGAUGGUCACUAGUAAAGACAUCAUGAAUCUUCUAACACAUAUGGUUCCCUGUGUUGGUUGUAGGAGAAGUGUUGAAAGGCUGUUCAAUGAUUUGGUGGAAUCCCAGCACACAGCAUUAGAACCUCUUAUCAUCACACGACGUGGUGUGUUAUCGGUAAAUCGUGACAGCCUAUUUGAUCCGAAAGCAUUGUAUGCUCUCUUCUACAUUCAUGGAUCAAAGCUGACAUCUGUGAUGGAAUCUAUUCCAAAAAGUAAGAAGAACAAACGGUGUAAUCUUCAUUCCUUAGAGACUCAUAAGACAAGAACACCAGGAAGCUGGAUAGAUAUAUGGGAUUUGUUAGCUCAAGAUUGCAGAGAGGAAGUAGUGCUAGUAGAUGCUGAUGGUCUUUUGGAUACACUUGAAAAUUAUCUCAGAAAACACAGGUUUUGUUCAGAAUGCAAGUCAAAAGUGCUAAGAGCCUACAGUAUUUUGGUUGGAGAUUUGGACUGUACUAAAGAGAAGGGUUAUUGUGCUGCCUUGUAUGAAGGUUUACGAUGUUGUCCUCAGGAACGCCACAUACAUAUGCUCUGUGAUACAGAUUUCAUAGCUCAUUUAAUAGGCAGGGCAGAGCCAGAGCUUGCUGGAGGAACUCGCCGAGAUAGACAUGCCAAAACUUUAGACAUUGCCCAGGAAGAAGUGCUGACCUGCCUUGGUAUACAUGUGUAUGAGAGGCUUCAUAGAAUCGCUCAAAAAUUGAAGGAAGAAGAACAAACUUGGCAGAUUCUAUUCUUCCUUGGAGUGGAUGCUCUAAAGAAAAGCUUUGAGGUGGCAUUAGAGAAGAAACAAGGUGUGUCAAACUUAGAAUUGAUGUAUGAGGAAUUGUUAGAAGAGGAAAGAGCUAAGGAACAAAGAAGGGAACAGAAAAGACAGAAGAGAAAAAAGAAGAAGGCAAAGACAUCUCAGAUUGCUGAAAAGGAAAACAUUGCAGUUGAGAUAGACAAUGAUAACUCUAAAUGUGAAUGUGAUAAAGAGAGGAGUAAGGAUAAGUCGACUCACAAGUCUUGUAAAGAUAAGUGUAGUAUCUAUGGUGACCAAAAUUCCAAUACUAGCUUGGCUUCAAUGGAGAGUUGUCGGAGUAACCAGUCUGGAGAGAAGAAAGGAGGAAGUGAUUGUGGUUACUCCUCUGGUCCUGAUGGUUGUGACAACUGUAGUGUGCCAAGUUCUAAUGAUUCAGAUGUCUCCAGUCUGGAGCACAUAUGUGGAAGUCAAGAUGGAGGUGAUAGUGUAUGUGGUUCCAACAACAGGUUAGACUCAUGCCAAACUUGUUUGUCUGAAAGUUCUCCAUCUAAACUCAAGCACAAAAGAAAUCACUACAAGUGUGAAAUGUCUGUGAUUCCUCAGCAUCAAGAAGACUACUGUGAUGCCAAUACAAGCUCUCAACAGUACAUGCCGCUUAGUCUUCAGGAUAUGCUAGAGGCACCAUGUUCAUCAGAAGAUGAGGAUGAUUUCAUUUCAGAAGAAGAAAUAAAGCAAUUCAAAAAAGCUAAUGAAAAAAAUCUUCAGGUCCAACGGGAGGAGUUAAGGGAGAAACUUAGAAAACAGUUCUGCAGUUUCUGUACAGUACAUCAAAAGACUCCAGAAACUUCACCUACUUUGUCUGGAUCAGUACGUCCAUCCAACUGUUGACUCGGUUACAUGCAGUUUUUUAUUUUUCAUUUUCUGUAAUGUGUUUUGGUUGACUUUGUUUGUAAUCUUCUUUAUUUAACAGUAUACACAUAGCUUCUGUCCUUGUAGUAUUUAUUAUACAGAAAUCUGUCAGUCAGUAUAUGUUAGUGUCAAAACAUUUGUCUAAUCUUGUACAUGCAGUGCAGUUGCAGGAAUGAUGCAUAAGGGAAAUUAGUUACACUAUUUUCUGCUGUUUCAUUGGUUAUGGAAAUUAAAACAAUAUAUUAGGAUAAUUAUUUUUUUAUUAUUUCAAUUUGUAUAUGGUUUUGGAUAGAAUUUUACAUUAAAAGCUAACUCUUUUGCCUGGCUGCUUGAGAAAAUAAUGAAGAUGCACAUUCUUUUGAAACCGUUUAACAUAUUUGUGAAAUUUUCUUCAAGCUUUAAAGAAAGGUUGUACAAUAUGUACAAACUAACACUUUAUAGUAAUAAAGUUUCACAUGAGAUAAAAAUGCAUUACUUGUAGCUAAAACAGAGUAAGAAUAUUGAAUUAAUAUACAAAGUAACUGAAAAAUAUCUUUGAUUUAAAGCUGGAAAUGUGUUUGUUUUAAUUAUGAAAAUGUCUUGACAAAGAACUUAACAAUAGCAGUUUAAUUUUUUACAUGAAUAAUUUUCUUAUUCUUUCAAUUGCUGUAAAUUUAAUUACUUGGUAAUUUUUUUUAGCAAUUUCAUAACACAUUUUUAAAGUAAAGCUAUAAUCUUUGAAACCCUUGGUGGGUUAAACUUUAUGAUUUUAAGGUAUCAAAUUAAUACAAGUCCUUAUGAAGGGAUUGUAUUUAUAUGUAUACAAAGUAUAAAACAGUUGGCUCUUUUUGAUUGACAGGUUUUGAUGUCAAGUUAGGGCUAUUCCAUUUAAAUGUUUGUGGGAGGGUUGAAAGGGACUUUCAAAAUAUCCCUACAACCAAGAACCAUUUUUCAAAUAAUUUUGCAUUAUGGUAAAAGAAGCAUACUGGAAAAAGACCCAUGACCCACAUUCAAUAAUUAAACUUCCCUUCCUACCGAUCCAUAUACAUUUUAAUGGAAUAGCCCUCAAAUAAAGAAGAAAUUAAUUUUGUGAUUAUAUGAUUAAUAUGCAUGAUGAAUAAAAAUGAGGAUGUGUACAAAGUACCUCCAUUUUGAACUCUUCCCUCUUUCAAAUUUUUUUUUUUCUAAAUACAAAAGAUAAUAUCUAGAAAGUGAAUAUUUAGCUUAAUAAAUGCAGACUUUAAAUGUAUUUCAGGAAUCAAUCUCUCCUGACUGACAAUAAUUUGUACAUUUGAUAUUUCAUAUUCGAGCAUUUGUUUAAUGAUUUAGAGGACAUAAGUGCUAUUAUUUUUCUGCCUCUACUGGUAUGCUUGAAGAGUCAAUAUUUGUAUAAGGAACCAUGUUUGAAGUGAAUUAAUGUAUUCAGACCAAGUCUUUAUGAUUAUGCACAUGCAAGCAGGAAUACUCAUAUAACAUAGAGCUUGAAAAGUAUAAAAGUUAAGAUGUUCCUUGUUGAAAGGGAUGGAAGGGAUCAGAAGACAAGUAUAAACAGUGGUGAGGUUUUAGGACAAACUCAGAUUGAUGUCUUUCACAGUUUUGUUAUCUUUGCUGUCAGAAAUUUAAUGAAUACAUGCAUAAAAUUUCUAUGCUUAUCAACAGUGAACAGAAACAAUGCUACAAAAUGAAUGUUAUUUUAAGUUUUAAUACAUGUGAAUGUCAACAUUCUUUUAUUUUUUUGUUUUGAAUUCUUUCUAUUUUGUGAGUUUUCAUUAUUUUGGUCAACAAUUGAUAGAUGUAUCUUCCUGACACAAGGAUUUAGAUGUAUCUUCCUGACACAAGGAUUUAGAUGUUCUCCUUGUUACCUGACACAAGGAUUUAGAUGUUCUCCUUGUUACCUGACACAAGGAUUUAGAUGUUCUCCUUGUUACCU